ACAAGACUUAACUACUUAGAAAC
rnacentral:piRNA from 1 species